CAGCAAAAUGCUCCUCUUGAAAGCUGCAUGCACGUUAAGUGUGUGUGCUCCCAUCGUGAGCAUGGAUGAAGUUGUGUGCGUUGGCUGAUGGAUGUAAAAGCAGCUUUGUGAUCUAGAAGGAGUCAAGUCAACGGGGACAGACUCUUCCCGCUGGCAUGCAGCAACAGAACAAAGGGCAAUGGGCAGAAACUGGAACACAAGUACUAACACAAAGAAGAACUUCUGUACAGAGUGACAGAGCUGGAAGAAGCCGCCCAAAGAGGUGGAGUGGACCAGUCACCUUCACUGGACGUAUUCAAGACCCAUCUGGAUGCCUCUCUGUGUGACCUACUUUAGGGAAGCUGCUUUAGUGGGGAGGGUGGACUUCAGGAUCUCUGGAUGUCAUUUCCAACCCCUACAAUUCUGUGCCCUGCUGAGCCUGCUUGGUGAUCAUGGGUGGAGCUGCAGCUUUGCAUGUGAGCUCUGUGCUGCUCCGUCUCUCCCAUUACCAGUCUUGACUGUGGGGUCUCUAACGGCAUAGAGCUGCAAGGAGUACAAUUACUGCCUCAUCCAUUUAAGUUGAUCAGCAGUUCAUCUGACUGGGAAUCAGUAAUAUGCUUAAGGAAUUGUCACAGCACAAAAAUAAAGGGGAAUUGAGGGAUCUGAACAUCCGACUCUUCUCUGGUGCUUCAGAAAUAUCCUGCAAAGCUCUUCCACUGA
rnacentral:lncRNA from 1 species